rnacentral:rRNA from 1 species
GAUCCAGACUCCUACGGGAGGCAGCAGUGGGGAAUAUUGCACAAUGGGGGGAACCCUGAUGCAGCGACGCCGCGUGGGUGAAGGAGUACCUCGGUGCGUAAAGCCCUAUCGGCAGGGAAGAAACAGACGGUACCUGACUAAGAAGCCCCGGCUAACUACGUGCCAGCAGCCGCGGUAAUACGUAGGGGGCAAGCGUUAUCCGGAUUUACUGGGUGUAAAGGGCGUGUAGCCGGGCUGACAAGUCAGAUGUGAAAUCCGGGGGCUCAACCCCCGAACUGCAUUUGAAACUGUUGGUCUUGAGUAUCGGAGAGGCAAGCGGAAUUCCUAGUGUAGCGGUGAAAUGCGUAGAUAUUAGGAGGAACACCAGUGGCGAAGGCGGCCUACUGGACGACAACUGACGGUGAGGCGCGAAAGCGUGGGGAGCAAACAGGAUUAGAUACCCCAGUACU